rnacentral:rRNA from 1 species
UACGAAGGGGGCUAGCGUUGCUCGGAAUGACUGGGCGUAAAGGGCGCGUAGGCGGCGGACACAGUCAGAUGUGAAAUUCCCGGGCUCAACCUGGGGGCUGCAUUUGAUACGUGUUUGCUUGAGUGGGGAAGAGGGUCGUGGAAUUCCCAGUGUAGAGGUGAAAUUCGUAGAUAUUGGGUGGAACACCGGUGGCGAAGGCGGCUCACUGGUCCGGUUCUGACGCUGAGGCGCGAAAGCGUGGGGAGCAAACAGG